GAUGAACGCUAGCUACAGGCUUAACACAUGCAAGUCGAGGGGCAGCAUUUCAGUUUGCUUGCAAACUGGAGAUGGCGACCGGCGCACGGGUGAGUAACACGUAUCCAACCUGCCGAUAACUCGGGGAUAGCCUUUCGAAAGAAAGAUUAAUACCCGAUGGUAUAAUCAGACCGCAUGGUCUUGUUAUUAAAGAAUUUCGGUUAUCGAUGGGGAUGCGUUCCAUUAGGCAGUUGGUGAGGUAACGGCUCACCAAACCUUCGAUGGAUAGGGGUUCUGAGAGGAAGGUCCCCCACAUUGGAACUGAGACACGGUCCAAACUCCUACGGGAGGCAGCAGUGAGGAAUAUUGGUCAAUGGGCGCAGGCCUGAACCAGCCAAGUAGCGUGAAGGAUGACUGCCCUAUGGGUUGUAAACUUCUUUUAUAUGGGAAUAAAGUUUUCCACGUGUGGAAUUUUGUAUGUACCAUAUGAAUAAGGAUCGGCUAACUCCGUGCCAGCAGCCGCGGUAAUACGGAGGAUCCGAGCGUUAUCCGGAUUUAUUGGGUUUAAAGGGAGCGUAGGUGGACAGUUAAGUCAGUUGUGAAAGUUUGCGGCUCAACCGUAAAAUUGCAGUUGAUACUGGCUGUCUUGAGUACAGUAGAGGUGGGCGGAAUUCGUGGUGUAGCGGUGAAAUGCUUAGAUAUCACGAAGAACUCCGAUUGCGAAGGCAGCUCACUGGACUGCAACUGACACUGAUGCUCGAAAGUGUGGGUAUCAAACAGGAUUAGAUACCCUGGUAGUCCACACAGUAAACGAUGAAUACUCGCUGUUUGCGAUAUACAGUAAGCGGCCAAGCGAAAGCAUUAAGUAUUCCACCUGGGGAGUACGCCGGCAACGGUGAAACUCAAAGGAAUUGACGGGGGCCCGCACAAGCGGAGGAACAUGUGGUUUAAUUCGAUGAUACGCGAGGAACCUUACCCGGGCUUAAAUUGCAUUUGAAUAUAUUGGAAACAGUAUAGCCGUAAGGCAAAUGUGAAGGUGCUGCAUGGUUGUCGUCAGCUCGUGCCGUGAGGUGUCGGCUUAAGUGCCAUAACGAGCGCAACCCUUAUCUUUAGUUACUAACAGGUCAUGCUGAGGACUCUAGAGAGACUGCCGUCGUAAGAUGUGAGGAAGGUGGGGAUGACGUCGAAUCAGCACGGCCCUUACGUCCGGGGCUACACACGUGUUACAAUGGGGGGUACAGAAGGCAGCUACCUGGUGACAGGAUGCUAAUCCCAAAAGCCUCUCUCGGUUCGGAUCGAAGUCUGCAACCCGACUUCGUGAAGCUGGAUUCGCUAGUAAUCGCGCAUCAGCCAUGGCGCGGUGAAUACGUUCCCGGGCCU
rnacentral:rRNA from 1 species